AUUGAACGCUGGCGGCAGGCCUAACACAUGCAAGUCGGACGGUAGCACAGAGAGCUUGCUCUUGGGUGACGAGUGGCGGACGGGUGAGUAAUGUCUGGGGAUCUGCCCGAUAGAGGGGGAUAACCACUGGAAACGGUGGCUAAUACCGCAUAACGUCGCAAGACCAAAGAGGGGGACCUUCGGGCCUCUCACUAUCGGAUGAACCCAGAUGGGAUUAGCUAGUAGGCGGGGUAAUGGCCCACCUAGGCGACGAUCCCUAGCUGGUCUGAGAGGAUGACCGGCCACACUGGAACUGGGACACGGUCCAGACUCCUACGGGAGGCAGCAGUGGGGAAUAUUGCACAAUGGGCGCAAGCCUGAUGCAGCCAUGCCGCGUGUAUGAAGAAGGCCUUCGGGUUGUAAAGUACUUUCAGCGGGGAGGAAGGCGAUGCGGUUAAUAACCGCGUCGAUUGACGUUACCCGCAGAAGAAGCACCGGCUAACUCCGUGCCAGCAGCCGCGGUAA
rnacentral:rRNA from 1 species